GACGUAGGGCGCGAGCGUUGUCCGGAUUUAUUGGGCGUAAAGAGCUCGUAGGCGGCUUGUCGCGUCGACUGUGAAAACCCGAGGCUCAACUUCGGGCUUGCAGUCGAUACGGGCAGGCUAGAGGCUGGUAGGGGCAAGCGGAAUUCCUGGUGUAGCGGUGAAAUGCGUAGAUAUCUGGAGGAACACCGGUGGCGAAGGCGGCAUCCUGGACCAACACUGACGCUGACGGAGCGAAAGCCAGGGGAGCAAAGCGGG
rnacentral:rRNA from 1 species